rnacentral:ncRNA from 1 species
GCUGAUAAGCCAAUGGUGCGAAGCUACCAUCUGAGGGAUUAUGACUGAACGCCUCUAAGUCAGAAUCCCGCCUGGAAAGCGACGAUGCAUUCGUGCCUCGGCCUCGAGAGGCGUAGCUAGACGGCCGCGUGGCCGUGGAAAGAGCCCGAUUCCGACCCGAGAGGCCGCGGCAAGAGGCGGCCUCGAAGUCGGUGGAUCCUCCUGCUCGAAAGGCGGGGUGCUAAACCAUUCGCAGACGACCUAGUUGAAGAUCGGGGUGUCGUGAUCACUAGAGCAGUACAUCUCACUGCGAUUUGUUGAGAGUAAGCCUCAAGAUCUGUCGGUUUGU